UUCUUUCUUUCUUUCCUCUUCUUCUUCUCCUAAUUCAAGAAAGAGAGAGAAUGCCGAGUACUAGCUCUAGCUUCGCAGGCUUGAUCUUCCUUUGCAAAUUGCAAUCCCUUUCAAAUUUCUUCCUUUGGCUGUCCUAUCAUGGAAGGAUCCUUACUAAUGUUCAGCGGGUGCAUCGCAGAAUGUCUUUCAAUCCCAGUUGUGCUUUGUGUGGUGAGGCUAGAGAAGAUACCAUCUACACCCUUCGGGACUGUCCCAGUGCGAAACAGGUGCGGUUGGGACUGGUUCCUCUAACGUCUCUGGUCUGUUUUUUCCUCCGAUGAUAUCCAGACAUGGAGUGAAGCUAAUUUAAGCGAAACUUUUGAGAGGGACAAUUAUGAUUGGCAUCUUGUUUUUAGUGUGGCUUUCUGGUAUAUAUGGAAAUGGCGAAAUGAAUGUAUUUUUGUGGGUUCAUAUAUUCCCUCGACUCCUAUCGUUUAUAUCAUGCAAUGAGUCUACGAUUUGUACAAGCUGCCUCUUUGUCUCGCUGUAAAGUUCCUGGCCGCUGUAGUGAUGAGAUUCAGAUAAGCUGGUCUCCGCCUCCUAUUAACUGGGUGAAACUUAAUACGGAUGGAAGUGUCGUUGCUGAUUCUAAUUUGGCAGUAGGUUUGUUAAGAGAUGCAAAUGGGUUUUGGUUGGCGGGGUUUGGCCUUAAUCUGGAUGCUUGUGACAUUUAUAGUGCAGAAUUAUGGGGGAUCUUGCAAGGGCUCCAACUUGCGUGGCAGUGUGGGUUCAGACAAUUAGUUGUCAAGGUUGAUAAUAUGGCUGCAGUUAAUGCCGGUCAUCUAGUGGAUUCCAUUCAAG
rnacentral:misc_RNA from 1 species